rnacentral:rRNA from 1 species
AGAGACAGCAGCAGCCGCGGGAAUACAGAGGGUGCGAGCGUUAAUCGGAUUUACUGGGCGUAAAGCGUGCGUAGGCGGCUUCUUAAGUCGGAUGUGAAAUCCCUGAGCUUAACUUAGGAAUUGCAUUCGAUACUGGGAAGCUAGAGUAUGGGAGAGGAUGGUAGAAUUCCAGGUGUAGCGGUGAAAUGCGUAGAGAUCUGGAGGAAUACCGAUGGCGAAGGCAGCCAUCUGGCCUAAUACUGACGCUGAGGUACGAAAGCAUGGGGAGCAAACAGGAUUAGAUACCCCUGUAGUCCCUGUCUCUUAUAC